CUAUCUGGCUUGCCUUUAACUCUGUUCUUUAUCUUCACGCUGGAUUUUAAGUAGCAGAUUUGCUUCUUUUAAUGGUCCCCAGUGGGGAAGUUUCCACAGCCCAGUUAAUAUCUUCCACUGACUUUUUUUUUUAUUUUGUUUUAUAAUGAAUGGAAUUGGAGAUUAGGCUUGAAGACAAAUGAACAGAAAACUUUACUGCAAAAGUCCAAACCAAGCAAAGACAAAAGAAUGGAUACUGUAGGCCUGUGCAUCAUGCGAGUGCUGCCAACCACUUAAGGGAGACAUCAAAAGAAGAAAUAAGAAAACAACAGAAGAUGGCAAAUCAGAAGAUGAGCAGUUCAUCAGAUCAAGGUUUUAUAAGUUGAUUUCCAAGAAAAACUGUUUUUCUGCAAAACCUCAAUCCUGCCCUGUUCAUCGGUAUCAAAUUCUGGAAUUUAUAUUGGUUUGUUUGUGGCAAAGUCUGAGACUCGCCAUAUUUGUUAAUACCAAACUCUGUGACUCGUCUCAUUUGUCUAUGUUGAAUUCCUAGACUCGGCUGGGUUGUCUGUCUCUACACCGGAGAUUGUCUUUGGUUAAUGAAUGCCAAUGCUCUCCAUGUAGACUGGAACCUUCCAUUGGCCAUUCUCUUCACAUUACUUUCCAUCACAGUGCUGCCCUUUAGCUUUGACCUUCAACAGGACUUUUUCUGAAAAUAAAAGCAUGUUCUAAAAACCA